rnacentral:rRNA from 1 species
AGUGAACGCUGGCGGCGUGCCUAACACAUGCAAGUCGAACGAUGAUGGAUGAGCUUGCUCAUCCUGAUUAGUGGCGCACGGGUGAGUAUACCAUAGAUAAUGUACCCCUUAGUUCGGGAUAGCCACUGGAAACGGUGAUUAAUACCGGAUACUCCUUCUUGCCAUAAGGUAAGUCGGGAAAGUUUUUUCGCUAAGGGAUCAGUCUAUGUCCUAUCAGGUAGUUGGUGAGGUAACGGCUCACCAAGCCUAUGACGGGUAUCUGGUUUGAGAGGAUGAUCAGACACACUGGAACUGAGACACGGUCCAGACUCCUACGGGAGGCAGCAGUGAGGAAUAUUGCACAAUGGAGGAAACUCUGAUGCAGCAACGCCGCGUGGAGGAUGACGCAUUUCGGUGUGUAAACUCCUUUUAAGAGGGAAGAUUAUGACGGUACCUCUUGAAUAAGCACCGGCUAACUCCGUGCCAGCAGCCGCGGUAAUAC